rnacentral:lncRNA from 1 species
CCCUGGCACCCCCUGGCAGGGUCAGCACCUCUGUAAUGCUUGGCUCCUAUCCCCCAGUGCUGAGAAAUGCCCCACUGUCCCCGCGGUACUUGUUCUGUCAUGACCGUCCCUCCUGCAGGGACAGAGCCAGCCCAGCCCUCUUUGUGCUCACAGGGAGGCACAAAGCUGCGGCCCCCGCUUUCAGCACCUUCCAGCCCAUGGACAAGACACGAAGGAGCUGCCAGGGCCUGGGCUUGUUCCGGGACCCCAGGCUCCAGAACCUAAGGGGAGGGGAGGCCCGGCCCCCCGCUGUCCACACUUUGGGAACGGCCCGGGCCCUGGGGCCUGCCUCUGUCCCAGGGAGUCCUGAGAAGGUGGAAGAGGUGCCUGGGGAAGGCAGCCUGUCUCUGCAGGCCAAGACUCGGGCUUGGUUCCAGAAGACCCAGGCCUGGUCGCUCCUGCAGUGUGGGGGAGCCCCUGCCUGGUUCCAUGGCUUCAUUACCCGAAGCCUUCAGCUUUUCCGCUUGGCGCGGGGACCGUCCUGA